rnacentral:rRNA from 1 species
CGCGUAGGCGGCUUGAUAAGUAGGGGGUGAAAUCUUGCGGCUCAACUGCAAGGCUGCCUCCUAAACUGUCAGGCUUGAGCACAGUAGAGGCAGGUGGAAUUCCCGGUGUAGCGGUGGAAUGCGUAGAGAUCGGGAAGAACAUCGGUGGCGAAGGCGGCCUGCUGGGCUGUUGCUGACGCUGAGGCGCGACAGCGUGGGGAGCAAACAGGAUUAGAUACCCUGGUAGUCCACGCCGUAAACGAUGGGUACUAGGCGUCGGGGGGAGCGACCCCUUCGGUGCCGUCGCUAACGCAGUAAGUACCCCGCCUGGGGAGUACGGCCGCAAGGCUGAA